rnacentral:rRNA from 1 species
AGCUCCAAUAGCGUAUAUUAAAGUUGCUGCAGUUAAAAAGCUCGUAGUUGCAUUUCCGAGGCAAGGGAUUAGUCCGACCUUUGGUGGGUAUUUAAUCCUCUUGCCUCGUCCUUGAGUGGUGCUUCUUGGUAUUAAGUUAUCGAGGAGAUAGCCGCUCAUCGUUUACUGUGAGAAAAUUAGAGUGUUCAAAGCAGGCUUAUGCCGUUGAAUAUAUUAGCAUGGAAUAAUAAGAUAGGACCUCGGUACUAUUUUGUUGGUUUGAGAACCAAGGUAAUGAUUAAUAGGGACAGUUUGGGGUAUUCGUAUUCAGUUGUCAGAGGUGAAAUUCUUAGAUUUACGGAAGACGAACUACUGCGAAAGCAUUUACCAAGGAUGUUUUCA